rnacentral:rRNA from 1 species
CCUACGGGAGGCAGCAGUGGGGAAUCUUGCGCAAUGGGCGAAAGCCUGACGCAGCCAUGCCGCGUGAAUGAUGAAGGUCUUAGGAUUGUAAAAUUCUUUCACCGGGGACGAUAAUGACGGUACCCGGAGAAGAAGCCCCGGCUAACUUCGUGCCAGCAGCCGCGGUAAUACGAAGGGGGCUAGCGUUGCUCGGAAUUACUGGGCGUAAAGGGAGCGUAGGCGGAUAGUUUAGUCAGAGGUGAAAGCCCAGGGCUCAACCUUGGAAUUGCCUUUGAUACUGGCUAUCUUGAGUUUGGGAGAGGUGAGUGGAACUCCGAGUGUAGAGGUGAAAUUCGUAGAUAUUCGGAAGAACACCAGUGGCGAAGGCGACUCACUGGCCCAAUACUGACGCUGAGGCUCGAAAGCGUGGGGAGCAAACAGGAUUAGAUACCCUGGUAGUCCACGCCGUAAACGAUGAGUGCUAGUUGUCGGCAUGCAUGCAUGUCGGUGGACGCAGCUAACGCAUUAAGUACACCUCCGCCGUCGGGGAGGUACGGGUCGGCGAAGAAUUAAAACUUAACAAAUAGAAGUUAGUACGGCGUGAGACGUCGCCGACGGACGACGACGAGGGAGUUAGG